UCCUUGCCUACCCAUCUAAAAGUCCUUAUCUGAGACCCUCAAUCUUCUAGUAAGUUCGCCCUUAUAGUCUGUUUCGGAUAGAAUGUUUUCGUAGAAUAUAAGUCAGAGAAAAAAGCAUGUAAGUCAGAGAAAAAAGCAUGUUUUCGUAGAAUAUUGUUUUCGUAUAUCGUAUAUAAGAUAAGAAUCAAUCGUAUAUCAUAUAUAAGAUAAGAAUAAUAAGAGUGAAUUUCGAUUGGAAUGUAAUGUUGUUUACAGUGUUGUUCGAGUGGAAAGAUGACUUUAGUGCUAGUCUAGUAGGUCUCGCCCAGUAGCGCCUUGACAAUUUAUGUGUGCGAAAUGCACGCGUUAAGGACGGUCCCCGAGGCUGGAAAACAACUCUGGUUUUCUUUCCAUUUGAUCCAAUCUGUACGAGUGUUAAGUCAACUCCUCACUCCUGAAAUUCAGUAUUCCGGGGGUUUCUACCACUCCUUCAAUUCAGUAUUCCGGGGGUUGAUACCUAAAUUCAUCCUAUUCCAGUUCGAUAGCCUGUUCGAUAGUUUUAUACCCGAAUAAUUCCUAUUUCUGUUCGAUGGGUUGAUACCAUCAUUCUUUUCGUCUUUUUUCUACCUUCCAGAUUGAAGAUGUCUCUGUCGGGAUUCCAUUACCUUUUUGUCGUGAUUCCGUUACCUUUUAGGAGGGAAAUGUGAAAAAAGGGGUGUCGGGAUUCACUUACUAUUUUGUCGCGAUUCCGUUACCUUUUUUAGGGCCAAGUCACUACUUUUGUGAUGCGGCAGCCUUGUCCACUUUUCUGGUUUAUUUCAUAUUUCUAAUUUGUGAUUUGAUUGUUUUUCUCAUAUCUUGGAUUACAAUACCCUAGCCCGACCCUAACAAGCUAGAUCUUCUUCUUAUGUACUAGAUGCUGGCCUAGUAACAGACUUCGGGCUUCCUAUAUAGUCUCUCGGUCAAGCCUUAAUAAGUAGGGGCUUACUAGCCUAGUAACUUCAUGAAACCUGCAUACCCUAUAGUAACAGAGGAAUUCCACAAGCCUACCCUCGUACCAGCACAAACCUACCCUCGUAAGUAAACAACACAGCCACUACCCAUACAAGGCACCAGUGGAUUUGAAGUCAACAAAGACAGAUUCCACAAACAAGUAAGUAAACUACCCGAGCCUUGGGCUAGUUCCAGCGAAGAAAGUAAGUAAGAGACUCAGAAUUGAAACAGUGCCCACCAGUCUUCACUCAGUUACCACAUCCCCAUAUUAUAAGUAGUGCUAGAAUGCAACCACUAACAACAAGAAUGGAAACCAGCUCACUGAUUCUCUCAUCAUCAAGAUACAGAAUCAAACUCAGUAGUCAAAGAGCCAGGGCAGAGGCAAGAUCAGAGGUAUAGUAGCAAGAGUUAGAGUAGUAGCUUGCCGUGGAGCUAGUAAAGCAAAGGAUGAAAGCAGUGAGGGCUCGCUACCGCGUCACAUUAGUAGUGCCUUGGUGACUGAUGCGGUGCCUAGGUAGCUAAGGUACUACUAGGGGUAUUGACUCUCCGAUGAGCUAGUUGAUCUAGUAGUAAAGUGAGAAUUCCACCAGUCAGUAGAAGCCGUAAAGCAGCUACAUUCCCACCGAUUCUCUGAUGCUAGCAGAAUGGAGCUAAGAAGUGGGAAAGCCAGAAUUGACCUAAGUGAAGUAGUUAAAGAAUGAACCAAGGCAGUUACAGAGUGAAACCUCGUAUCAAAGAAUCAGAAGAAGGCAGAAGCUAUCAAAGAAUCAAACUCAGUAGUCCUAGCAUCUAGUAAACAUCUAGUACUGUUGCUUGCCGGUGAGUGACUGGGUGUUCGAAGCCCCUGUUCCUGUUCAUAAGUAAGGGAAGGUAAGGAUUGGAGUGGGAAUGGGAAGUAGUCCAGAGCAAUAACUGUAUUUGUAACCAGAGGAGAGACUUCCUAUUAUAGUGAUAGUAGCCAAAGGGGAGGAACUCUUUAUUAGUUGACAGAGCCAUAGGAGAGGGAAUAGAACCAGAGGGGAGGAGAUAGUGGAAAGUCAGAGACAACCUCAUAAGCCGAAUGCAAAUAGCCACUCCUUUGUGUUGGGGUCAGCAGUCGGAAUUAAGGAACUUAACUAAGUAGUGCUAGUCUAAAGAAUCAACCCUGUAGCCUCCAAACUAUGGAGAAUCUCUCCUCUGAUCUUGCCUCUGCAUGAAGCAAGGAGAGUUAGAUGAGCAAUAGGAGAGUUCAAAGAGAUGAGAUGAGAUCCAUAACUUGAUUAGUUUACAGAGCCAUAUAGGGCAGGGAAAUGGGCAAUUCCAUUCUUUGUUUAGGGUAGGGUUCGAGUAUACAGGAGCGGAUGCUUGAUCAAUGGAAUAAGUCUUGUUCCAGUAAGUGAAAUUCUGAUCUGAGUAGUAAAUGUAGUGUCUUGGCCGAAAUCAUUCCUUUUGAGCCCUUUUCUUAAAAUAUCCCUAUUCUUUCUUAGUAAUACGAUGAUUUGGACUAAUGCGCUAGAUGUACCCUGUUCUUCUAUCUUAUACCAAUACUAGAUGCGCUAGCAAGGACUUGCUCAUAAAGGGAAGCUAUUCAAGGAGUUGGCGAAAGUCUAGUCCAAGUAGCAGUCCUAUAGAAUCUCAAGUAGGAGUCCUGUUCGAGGUAAGUUAGAGUCUAGGUCUGCAAGGUCAGCUGUGGAAUCAGUAGUUGUUAGUUUCAUACCGGUAGUACUUGUUACUUCUAGUAGUUCCUUGGCUCAUAGCAUUGGUUGAGUGGUAGUAAUAAAUUGUGGCAGAUAUAUAAGUUGCCCACUACUGGUCAAGUCCUGUGUUCGGGGUAAACAGGCUUUUGAAACUCAGAACUAGGAAAUCCAGCAACGCUAACUGGAAUGCGUCUACUACUGACAAAGCUGAUAUCACUACUAAAAGGAAUAAAUCAACUCAUAACUAGGAAAUCAAACUAGAGUACUUAUGGGACUGGACUGCAACUAGCGCUUCUACUACUAAGAGGAAACUCCAAAAUCAAUAUCCAUAUAAUAAUGAGAAAACACAUAUCCAUAUUCUAAUGAGAAAAUACAGAAUAGCAUUGGGGCGGAGGCCAUAGUUCUUUUCUGUUUUUGUAUCAAUUGGUUAAGUAAGUGAAGUAAGAGAAGAGAAUCAGAGGUUCCAAUAAGUAAGAGAAUCAUUGGUGAAAAAGCUGGACUAAGUAUUAGAAUCAUUAAGAAGGUGGAGCCAAUAGACUUUAGCGUAAUAAUUACAAGACCGAACACGGAAUAAGCAACUACAGAAGUCAACUCAUAGAAGUGAGAAUGAUUGCCCAGAAGGGGAGACUUAGAUGAAGUAGUAGCAGACUCUUUGUUAGAGGUUUUCGAAUCCAAAUCAGUAACUACAAUCUGGAUCAGUAGUGGGAGAACUUAAGUAAUCAAUUGAAGAAUAAGAUACGGGCGGGGGGCAGGUAUAAGAUUCAUAGACUGCAGUGCUCCUAUUAGUAGUAGUAACAGGCUAGGCUCUUAUUGAUAGUAGUAACAGAGGGGCCAAGUAACGGGCAACUACUUAAGAAGUCAAGUCUAGGUCGGGGCGGGGCAGACUAUCUUACUUGCUUUGAGGAGAGACAUAAGCACUAACUGAGUUGAGCUCGGGGUUAACACUUAUUAGAGAAGAGGUCGGGCUUUCCCCUUGUAAUGGAGGUCGGGUCUGGUCGGGGUUAACACUUAUAAGAUCAGAGGAGUUGUUUGUUUCAAGAGCAAGAUCAGAGGGAGAUGAGAAAGCAUCUUGUUUAGAUGAGCCAGAGUUCAGAGGUAUCGGAUAAGAGACAGAGGAGAGGCUGCUAGUCAAGUAAUCUCUAACUAAGGUAGGGUCGGGCUAGGGAAUAAAAGGAAUGAAAUGAAAUAAACUAGAAAACUUCUUUCCCUGCUCCCAUAAGAGGAGUGGACACAUAGCUUGAAGACCUGAUUGAGAGUACAUAUAUGUGUUGGCUUGAAGUGAAGACCUGAUUGAGAGUUGAAGAUAGGGUUGGCGAGCCUCAUUCUGUGGUAUGAUUGUUGCCAGCUGCUUUGCUUGUGGAAUGACUUGUUGAAUCCCUUGUUUUGGGCGUAGUGUAGUGGCGGUGUUUUAGUUGAAAGUCCCUAAAGUCAUACUUGUAGACAGGAGAUAUAGGCUGAGCUAAAGUAAAGCAAAGACCAUUCUGAGACUUAUUAGUGAAAUUCCCGUUUGAGGAGCGUCCGCCUUGCUUGUUAGGUAGGGCAGCGUUCGAGUCGUUAGGUUCUGUUGGAUUCCUCUGAGUCUAGUUAGCACCAACACUUAAAGGGAUUAUGUUCACUUAGAAAAGAAUUAGGGAAGUUUACUUCACACUGGCACAGCAGCUCUUCUCGUUCAAUGAGAAAGUGUUCCUGUUACGGCUUUUUAUCCUGGUUUAUAUUAUCGUUAGCUACUAGUUAAGCCCUAGUUCUUAGUUAAAGGAAUAGAAGUGAGAGUUUGAUUAAGCGUACGCCUGUUAAAGUAUGGGAGGCACCUGUUCCAUUCUCUGUAUUUGUAGAUGCAUUCUGAUAGUCGUCGUUUGAUUCCCGGUAAUAACUCUAACUACUUUCCUCGAACGCUCCUAUUAACGGAAUGAUGAAACUAGUAGUAGCUUGCCGGGUCUAAAGUAUCACCCCAAAAGUAGUGGUCCAAUCGAGACCAGACCCAUCUCCUCUCCACUAGUUCUUGACCCAACGAGUAGUAAUCUAGUCCUGUGGAAUCAGUAGUAGUUGACAGAGGUCUAGGAUAUCUUAGUUUAGGUAAGUCCAGUAGUAGCUUGGCCGCCUAAGCUUGGUCAUUAGUAGUUGCUUGGUGGCUGAUGCGGUGUCUGCAGGCCUAAUAUAUAAAGGAGAAGGGCCAAGAAGAGAAUGAAUAUAAAAGAGAAGACGGCCCAGGAAUUCUGGG
rnacentral:lncRNA from 1 species